rnacentral:rRNA from 1 species
UACAGCGGGUGCAAGCGUUAAUCGGAAUUACUGGGCGUAAAGCGUGCGUAGACGGUUAUGUAAGUCGGGUGUGAAAGCCCCGGGCUCAACCUGGGAAUGCCAUUCGAGACUGCAUAGCUAGGGUGCGGAAGAGGGAAGCGGAAUUUCCGGUGUAGCGGUGAAAUGCGUAGAUAUCGGAAGGAACACCAGUGGCGAAAGCGGCUUCCUGGUCCAGCACCGACGUUCAGGCACGAAAGCGUGGGGAGCAAACAGG